rnacentral:rRNA from 1 species
AGAGUUUGAUCCUGGCUCAGAUUGAACGCUGGCGGAACGCUUUACACAUGCAAGUCGAACGGUAACGCGGAGAGAAGCUUGCUUCUCCCCGGCGACGAGUGGCGAACGGGUGAGUAAUACAUCGGAACGUGUCCGCUCGUGGGGGACAACCAGCCGAAAGGUUGGCUAAUACCGCAUGAGUUCUACGGAAGAAAGAGGGGGACCCGCAAGGGCCUCUCGCGAGCGGAGCGGCCGAUGACUGAUUAGCCGGUUGGUGAGGUAACGGCUCACCAAAGCAACGAUCAGUAGCUGGUCUGAGAGGACGACCAGCCACACUGGGACUGAGACACGGCCCAGACUCCUACGGGAGGCAGCAGUGGGGAAUUUUGGACAAUGGGCGCAAGCCUGAUCCAGCUAUUCCGCGUGUGGGAUGAAGGCCCUCGGGUUGUAAACCACUUUUGUAGAGAACGAAAAGACACCUUUUAAAAAAGGGUGUUGCUGACGGUACUCUAAGAAUAAGCACCGGCUAACUACGUGCCAGCAGCCGCGGUAAUACGUAGGGUGCGAGCGUUAAUCGGAAUUACUGGGCGUAAAGGGUGCGCAGGCGGUUGAGUAAGACAGAUGUGAAAUCCCCGAGCUUAACUCGGGAAUGGCAUAUGUGACUGCUCGACUAGAGUGUGUCAGAGGGAGGUGGAAUUCCACGUGUAGCAGUGAAAUGCGUAGAUAUGUGGAAGAACACCGAUGGCGAAGGCAGCCUCCUGGGACAUAACUGACGCUCAGGCACGAAAGCGUGGGGAGCAAACAGGAUUAGAUACCCUGGUAGUCCACGC